CAUUAACAAUCAGAUAAAAGUGGCCAUUUGGAUUAUGCUUCCGGGGUAGAAAUGAUCCUGUGGGAAACUUGUCAGACUUUGUGGCGGACUGUUGCUCUCUCUUUUUCCUCUUCCUUUUCUCUCCCUCCUCACCUCUUACUGUGCACUCUUUCUUAUAUCUUUUCCUCCCUGUGCCUACUACUGGGUGGAGUUUCCUUGUGGGCCCCACUGUUGUGCUAAGAAUAGCACUAGCUGCUACUUAUCAAGCCUUUGCCACUUGCCAGGCACUGUGCAGAGCACCCUAGAUACAUUACCUCACUUAUUGCACCCAACAGCCCUCCAGGAGGAUGGGCAUAUUUGUGUAAUGAACCCAGUCUUGACACGGUGUUUAAUUGCUUUAUUAUGCUCUUUGUCAGCACUCCAAAUAAUAAAGUUUAUUGGUAUUCUUAACUUUUUCAUGCUUGACUUAAAAUAUAUUGUAAAUAUCAUGUUGGCCACUGAAAAGAGCUAGCAGGCAGGUUAUGGGGAAUUGGAGUUAUGCUUUAUUAUUAUUAUUUCUUAUCUUUCCCUGAGCAGUAAUUACUGGCGGUAAAUGAAAGUUCUGGGAGCUGUUGUUUCAUAUUGAAAUUUAACUGCUUCCUUCCCUGCAGUAAAAUAGAUACUGGUGAGAUGGAGCCAGGAUGAGUAAGGGCAUAAAAUAUAGGAAGGUACUAAGCCUUGAACUCAGCUUCUCCUUAUCACCUCAAUAUUAAGCAUCAUUUUCAAUGCAUAAUUAUAUGAGAAAAUGAAAGUGCCAAGUCUCUACACUGUACAUUCCCCAGGCAAGAACUUCCAGGUUGUCUCUGGAAGAUCCAGCCUUUUCAGUGGGAAAUCAAGAGAGGAAGGUUGGUCAGUGGAGGCUGGGGUUUCUGUUUGCCUUUUUCUUCCUCCUAGAGUGUACAUUACCUCCACUUUGCUCACUGUCCUAGUGAACUCACCUGUGUACAGAAUUCUCCAGAGUUCUGCUUCCCAGGUGCGAUAAAGAAUCUUCAGGUGGAGAGGCAAUCCUGAAUUAUCCAGUGGGCCCUAAAUGUCACCACAGUGCCAUCCUUCUAAACAAGAAGCAGAAGAUCUGUCACACGCAGGACAGGGGAAGGCAAUGUGACCAUGGAGGCAGAGACAGGAGUGAUGUGGCCAUAAGCCAAGGAUUGUCGGCAGCCGCCAGUGGCUGAAGGGGCAAGGAACAGAUUCUCCUCUGGAGCCUCUGGAGGAAGAAUGGCCCUGAUAAUACCUUGAUUUUGGCCCAGUGAUAGUGAUUUUGGACUUCUGGCCGCUAGAACUCAAGUUCGGGACUGUGCUAGGUAUGACCUGGGAUAGAAAGAGCAUAUACUCAGCUUUUACCUUCAAGAAAAUUGGAUAUUGGCUUGGGAGAUAAGAUAAAUGAAAAGGAAGCAGAUGAUCUGUUAUAGAAAAGAUAACACUGUAAGCCCAACAUGAGUAAUGCAUUUCUACUUAGAGGACAGCUAAGUGAAAAUGUACUCCUGAAACAAGAUUUGUUCUGCUGGCUUCCUUGAAUUUGUCAAAAAGACAAAAAUCUCACCAGCUUCACUUUGUAAUAAUGCCCCAAAAUUACUUGGCAUCAUCUUCCACCUACUUUUCUUGGCUCUAUUAUUUAAUAUUUGUAGUAGGGAGGAAGAAAAUGAACACAUUCACAAUUUAAGGUUCUGCUUAUACAUGUAUUGUCAAAGCUACCUAUUUUAAACAAGGUGUUUUAUAUUUUAUUAAAGUGAUCAGUGCCUAUGAGUAUAAAAGAAAUGAUGGUAGCUUCAUGAUCUUUUUCAUAACAGAGUCCCAUACUUAACACUUUCAUGUGCUGACACUGAUAAUGAAG